rnacentral:rRNA from 1 species
GAUUGAACGCUGGCGGCAUGCCUUACACAUGCAAGUCGAGCGGCAGCGCGGGGGCAACCCUGGCGGCGAGCGGCGAACGGGUGAGUAAUGCAUCGGAACGUGUCCUCUUGUGGGGGAUAACCAGUCGAAAGAUUGGCUAAUACCGCAUGAGAUCGAGAGAUAGAAAGCGACGGGGACCGACGAACGGCCCU